rnacentral:rRNA from 1 species
GAUGAACGCUGGCGGCGUGCCUAAUACAUGCAAGUCGAGCGGACAGACGAGGAGCUUGCUCCUCUGACGUUAGCGGCGGACGGGUGAGUAACACGUGGAUAACCUACCUAUAAGACUGGGAUAACUUCGGGAAACCGGAGCUAAUACCGGAUAAUAUAUUGAACCGCAUGGUUCAAUAGUGAAAGACGGUUUUGCUGUCACUUAUAGAUGGAUCCGCGCCGCAUUAGCUAGUUGGUAAGGUAACGGCUUACCAAGGCGACGAUGCGUAGCCGACCUGGGAGGGUGAUCGGCCACACUGGAACUGAGACACGGUCCAGACUCCUACGGGAGGCAGCAGUAGGGAAUCUUCCGCAAUGGGCGAAAGCCUGACGGAGCAACGCCGCGUGAGUGAUGAAGGUCUUCGGAUCGUAAAACUCUGUUAUUAGGGAAGAACAAAUGUGUAAGUAACUAUGCACGUCUUGACGGUACCUAAUCAGAAAGCCACGGCUAACUACGUG